AAAAAAGCCUCAGUAACGGCGAGUGAAGCGGCAACAGCUCAAUUUGAAAUCUGGCCCUUUCAGGGUCCGAGUUGUAAUUUGCAGAGGGUGCUUUGGUGUCGGCCGUGGUCUAAGUUCCUUGGAACAGGACGUCACAGAGGGUGAGAAUCCCGUACGUGGCCGCCGGUCUUCACCGUGUAAAGCCCCUUCGACGAGUCGAGUUGUUUGGGAAUGCAGCUCUAAAUGGGAGAUACAUUUCUUCUAAAGCUAAAUAUUGGCCAGAGACCGAUAGCGCACAAGUAGAGUGAUCGAAAGAUGAAAAGCACUUUGGAAAGAGAGUCAAAAAGCACGUGAAAUUGUUGAAAGGGAAGCGCUUGCAGCCAGACGUGCCCGCAGUUGCUCACCUAGGCUUUUGCCUGGGGCAUUCUUCUGCGGGCAGGCCAGCAUCAGUUCGGACGGUUGGAUAAAGGCCUCUGUCACGUAUCUUCCUUCGGGAUGACCUUAUAGGGGAGGCGCAACACGACCAGUCUGAACUGAGGACCGCGCAUCAGCUAGGAUGCUGGCGUAAUGGCUGUAAGCGGCCCGUCUUGAAACACAGAC
rnacentral:rRNA from 1 species